rnacentral:lncRNA from 1 species
AUGUAGACAUAGUUCCAUAUUCUGUUCUACAUUUAACAUUUUAUCACGACCAUUUUUUUGUGUCGUUACUGCAGCUCGGAGCUUUGCAGCCUGGAGCAUACGUGGCACCCGGCAUUGUUGCUUCCCUGGAAGAGGUUUGGAGAGAGCUGGGUGAGGCCUGUUCUAGGACUAGACUUGCCUGGUGUGGAGGGCAGAGGAAGAAAACAAAGAGUGGGCGAAAGACAAACAAAGCUGAAGGAGGGUUGUAAAAUAUGCAGAAGUAAACAGGUGAGCCCGGCCAUUAUUUCUUAGACAGGACACACCAGGAAUAAAAAAUACACAGGCUACUAUUCCUCA